AAACCCGUGUCCAUAUUGUGUGUGUGAAGAAGCAUCGAAGCGCGGCAGCCAUGUUCAGCGUGGCAUUUCGGAAGGCUUGUCAGGGGUGGAGAAGCGGGGCGGGUUGCUGUUCUUUCACCUGACACUAAAGCGCCAUGCCGGAAGCACUGAGUCUGAUACGUCGGAACCAGUCUCCACCGUGUGGUUUGGUCUUGAUUUCCACUGGUACUCUGGGGUCUUGGAUAAGUCUCUGGACCUCGCCUUUGUCAUUUGCGAAGUCGAUAGGUUCCAAUAGAGAUUUUCCCAGAAUCAUUCAACUAAAAAUAGAGAACUUUUUUUUUUUGAGAGGAAGGACGGGGGCGCAGUUAAAGAUGUUAAUGUUAAGUCAUCCCUUCUGUGAUUUCGGGACAUUAUCUUUGCACGCCAUGUGAAGAUGUGCUUGCUUCCUUGUCACCUUCCGCCAUGAUUGUAAGUUUCCUGAGGCCUCCCAGGAAGCAGAAGCCUGUACAGCCCACAGAACCAUGACCUGAUGAAAUCUCUUUUCUUUAUAAAUUACCCAGUCUCAGAGGGGUGGAGCCAAGAUGGCCGAAUAGGAACAGCUCCAGUCUACAUCUACCAGCAUGAGUGACACAGAAGAUGGGUGAUUUCUGCAUUUCCAACUGAGGUACUGGGUUCGUCUCACUGGGGAGUGCUGGACAGUGGGUGCAGGACAGUGGGUGCAGCGCACCGUGCGUGAGCCGAAGCAGGGCGAGGCAUCACCUCACCCAGGAAGUGCAAGGGGUCAGGGAAUUCCCUUUCCUAGUCAAAGAAAGGGGUGACAGAUGGCACCUGGAAAAUCGGGUCACUCCCACCCUAAUACUACGCUUUUCCAUCGGGCUUAGCAAACAGCACAACAGGAGAUUAUAUCCUGCACAUGGCUCGGAGGGUCCUACGCCCAUGGAGAAACUCUAUAAGCCAGAAGAGAGUG
rnacentral:lncRNA from 1 species